rnacentral:lncRNA from 10 species
UUUGUGAAUGGAUAUUGCGGUUUCUGGAUCUCAUCCUCUGCAGGUGGACAGGUUUCUCCACCUUGCUGGAAGUGACCUGAUAUCCAGAAGUUUGAUGGCUGAGGAGUAUACCAUUGUGCUUGCGUCCUUCAUUUCCUGCAUUUCUUCCUCCAUGGAUGGACAGGUAGAUUACCUCUAUACCCUGGUUAUUGUCCAGAGUACUUCAUCAAACAUGGGAAGGCAAAUAUCUCCUUAAGUUUCAAGUUUCCUUGGCUUUGCCGGUAUACCCAAUGUUGGGAUGGCUAGAGGAACUGGUAGU